rfam:Monodelphis domestica chromosome 2, whole genome shotgun sequence.
UCAAAGGCUCUUUUCAGAGCCACUUAAACCUUUUUAGAAGGGCUUGU